ANACNUGCAGUCGAGCGAAUCGAUGGGAGCUUGCUCCCUGAGAUUAGCGGCGGACGGGUGAGUAACACGUGGGCAACCUGCCUAUAAGACUGGGAUAACUUCGGGAAACCGGAGCUAAUACCGGAUACGUUCUUUUCUCGCAUGAGAGAAGAUGGAAAGACGGUUUUGCUGUCACUUAUAGAUGGGCCCGCGGCGCAUUAGCUAGUUGGUGAGGUAAUGGCUCACCAAGGCGACGAUGCGUAGCCGACCUGAGAGGGUGAUCGGCCACACUGGGACUGAGACACGGCCCAGACUNNNACGGGAGGCAGCAGUAGGGAAUCUUCCGCAAUGGACGAAAGUCUGACGGAGCAACGCCGCGUGAACGAAGAAGGCCUUCGGGUCGUAAAGUUCUGUUGUUAGGGAAGAACAAGUACCAGAGUAACUGCUGGUACCUUGACGGUACCUAACCAGAAAGCCACGGCUAACUACGUGCCAGCAGCCGCGGUAAUACGUAGGUGGCAAGCGUUGUCCGGAAUUAUUGGGCGUAAAGCGCGCGCAGGUGGUUCCUUAAGUCUGAUGUGAAAGCCCACGGCUCAACCGUGGAGGGUCAUUGGAAACUGGGGAACUUGAGUGCAGAAGAGGAAAGUGGAAUUCCAAGUGUAGCGGUGAAAUGCGUAGAGAUUUGGAGGAACACCAGUGGCGAAGGCGACUUUCUGGUCUGUAACUGACACUGAGGCGCGAAAGCGUGGGGAGCAAACAGGAUUAGAUACCCUGGUAGUCCACGCCGUAAACGAUGAGUGCUAAGUGUUAGAGGGUUCCGCCCUUUANNGCUGCAGCUAACGCAUUAAGCACUCCGCCUGGGGAGUACGGCCGCAAGGCUGAAACUCAAAGNAUUGANGNNGNCCCGCACAAGCGGNG
rnacentral:rRNA from 1 species